AUUGAACGCUGGCGGCAUGCCUUACACAUGCAAGUCGAACGGUAACAGGUCUUCGGAUGCUGACGAGUGGCGAACGGGUGAGUAAUACAUCGGAACGUGCCCGAUCGUGGGGGAUAACGAAGCGAAAGCUUUGCUAAUACCGCAUAAGAUCUAAGGAUGAAAGCAGGGGACCGCAAGGCCUUGCGCGAACGGAGCGGCCGAUGGCAGAUUAGGUAGUUGGUGGGAUAAAAGCUUACCAAGCCGACGAUCUGUAGCUGGUCUGAGAGGACGACCAGCCACACUGGGACUGAGACACGGCCCAGACUCCUACGGGAGGCAGCAGUGGGGAAUUUUGGACAAUGGACGCAAGUCUGACCCAGCCAUGCCGCGUGAAGGAUGAAGGUCCUCUGGAUUGUAAACUUCUUUUAUCUGGGGCGAAAACCGGUUAUUCUUAGCCGUUUGACAGUACCAGAGGAAUAAGCACCGGCUAACUCCGUGCCAGCAGCCGCCGUAACAC
rnacentral:rRNA from 1 species